rnacentral:rRNA from 1 species
UACGUAGGGGGCGAGCGUUGUCCGGAUUCAUUGGGCGUAAAGAGCUCGUAGGCGGCUUGGAAAGUCGGGUGUGAAAACUCCAGGCUCAACCUGGAGCGGCCACUCGAUACUUCCAUGGCUAGAGUCCGGUAGGGGACCACGGAAUUCCUGGUGUAGCGGUGAAAUGCGCAGAUAUCAGGAGGAACACCGGUGGCGAAGGCGGUGGUCUGGGCCGGUACUGACGCUGAUGAGCGAAAGCGUGGGGA